CCUACGGGUGGCAGCAGUAGGGAAUCUUCCACAAUGGGCGCAAGCCUGAUGGAGCAACACCGCGUGAGUGAAGAAGGGUUUCGGCUCGUAAAGCUCUGUUGUUGGAGAAGAACGUGCGUGAGAGUAACUGUUCACGCAGUGACGGUAUCCAACCAGAAAGUCACGGCUAACUACGUGCCAGCAGCCGCGGUAAUACGUAGGUGGCAAGCGUUAUCCGGAUUUAUUGGGCGUAAAGCGAGCGCAGGCGGUUGCUUAGGUCUGAUGUGAAAGCCUUCGGCUUAACCGAAGAAGUGCAUCGGAAACCGGGCGACUUGAGUGCAGAAGAGGACAGUGGAACUCCAUGUGUAGCGGUGGAAUGCGUAGAUAUAUGGAAGAACACCAGUGGCGAAGGCGGCUGUCUGGUCUGCAACUGACGCUGAGGCUCGAAAGCAUGGGUAGCG
rnacentral:rRNA from 1 species